UUGUAGCUGGAGGUCAUAGCUAGCUCGGGGAAAUUAUUAAGUAGUUAUCUUUAAUGAGCCUCUGCCAUUGGCGUUCCAUCCUUAUCCUCUUUGUUUGAUAAUUAGGGUAGAAAUCUUCCACAGAGGAAAAUCAUUUCAAUGGAUCACCGUGUAACUAAAAACCAAUUACCAGUUUUAUGAUGAUAGGAAUAGAAUGAGCAAUGGCGGUAGUAUGACAUUUGAAAAGUGGAACCAACAGAUUAUUACCAUUUUCUUAUCAAUGCUAAUGGAAUUAUUUGAUGUGUGAAAACUAAUCAGUGAAUGAUAAUGAUCCCCUCCCACAUUUUACAAACCAACAACUAGUGCUAUAUGGAAGUGCAAAAGGAAGAAAGGAAGCAGUCCAGACCAGACCAGAAGCAAGCACCAUCAACUACUCUAAUGUUUCGCAUAUUAGAGUACUCCUGCUAAGACAAGAAUCUAUGUCUCAUAAGUAUUGUUGUUGUUGUGAAAUAGUCAGUCAGCUUAACAAAUUGUAUAAUGCUAGUAGGAUUGUACUAACAUGCAUCUUCAAGGUCAAGGGAAGGUUAUUGAUUAGUUCAGACUGCUUAUAUGCUAAUUUAAUAAUUAUUAAUUAAAAUCUUUAAUUUUAUGAUGUUUACCAAGUAUAAUUUCGAUGAGCAGAAAAGCAAAGCAAUCUAUAAAUAAAAAUCAAGAAUUAAGAAAUUUGGUUGAGAAGUAUAAUGUUGACUGUCGUAGUAGGAACAUAACAACAUCACAGAAGAUGCAGGCACGUCGUCCAUUUAUCUAUAAAUAAUCAAUUAUUUAUUAUAGCCAUAGGAUAGUAGCAGUAGAAAACGUGAUCUUAUUUCCUGAACCAGUAAAGCUAGUGACCAUUAGAGGUCUGUUUUAUUAUCCAUGUACUUUGGAAAAGUAAUGCUCGAAACUGAAUAUAUUACUGACUUACAGUCGGUAGGAAUAAGAACCCACGACCAAUUACUCUAAAUAAUAACGAGUAGAGUCUCAACUCUCAACUCAGCUUGUCGUUUUGUUUUGAGUUCACAGAUAAUUAAAAAAAAAAAAAAUCAUCAAUUGGGGGAUAUGAUGACUGUAGCAACUGCGAGCAACAAUGGAUGGAGAUGGAGAUUUCCAUUUCCACACUUGAGAAACAGCAGCAGCAGUAGAAGGAAAGCUACUCUCACUCUUCCCAUCAAACUACACCGACAUAAAGAGAACAAUCUUGUAGCCUCCUCUAAUGCAAAGCGAGCGAGUUUGACUGCCUCAAGGACCCAAAAAGUUAAACUUCCGGUUUAUGGUGACACUUCGGAGGUCAAGGGCGACCAACCUUAUCAUAUCAGUCACUUUUUAAGCCAUCCAUCUGGGAUCGAAGCUAUGUUAAACACUAGUGCCUUACAAAACUUUGAGUUUCUUGACACCAAUGCAUACAGGUGCACACUUCCAAAACUUGCGCUCUUCAACUUUGAAGCAACACCGGUACUUGACUUACGAGUGAUCCCCACAAAAGAAGAUUGCACUGUUGAGUUAUUUUCUUGCAAGUUCAAGGGUUCAAAAGUUGUGGAACGCCAAAAUGACCAUUUUUCAGCUACUAUGAUAAAUCAUAUUACCUGGGACACAAAUAUUUCUGAGCCAUUUUUAGAAGUUGAUGUGAAGUUGAAUCUAAGUCUUGAGGUUGUUAUCUUAUUGGCUUGACAAAUCAUGACUGUUACCUGGAAAUUAAAUUUUAAUUGUGCCUCCUGGCAAAACAUUUUUUUUUUUUCUGUAGGUUUGAGUCUUAUUUUGGAAUAUGUGACUUACGUUUAUCAUGAUAUGCUGGCCUAUUUCCAAUAGUGCCUAUUCGCAUCCAUAUUUACACGCGACCAUUUGUUUCACUGCCAAUUUCAGCUGUCGAGCGUCCUGGAAAUCUAAUGAUACAAGCUCUGGUGGAU